AAAAUUAAUUCAUGUCAUCGCAAUUAAAAAAACCAUUGUCUACUUGUUGCUCCUCUUAACAUUUUGAAGAAGAUCCGCCAUUGGUCAGCGAGAACUUGUAAGGCGGGAUGCAUGAUCGUUAUCCAAACUUCUUUUGAGGAGAUUUUCUCCUUUAAGAAAAAAAUUCCUAUCCACAUGGCCUAAAAUGGCGCAGUCGCCACAGGAUCCUCACUCAGGCCAAUUGACAUGCUUAUAUGGUCGAGGUCAAUUACACAAUUUAAAGGGAUUUUGUUUCCAAGAGGAGUAUAUUCUCAUCACCAGAGCGAGGUUCAAUAGGUAAAUCUAUAGCUCAAUCCCCACCUGAUCUAUCACCAGAUAGAGACCGACUCCACUAACAUCCAUGCCGAAACACAUGACAACUUCUCUCAGCCUGGGUUGUGUAGAUCUAUUCUGAAAGGAUGGUAACAAGUGGUUGUAGUCUAGUUAGGCACAUAUGCUUCAAAUCUCUACCAGUUAUGUAAUUGUUAUGUAGCACAAGGAAGAAUCUUCAACACUAUUUAGCAGCUAUCUUUUUGUGGCAUGGUUGACAUUCUGAGGACCACAAUUUCCAUUUACCGAAUACAUUUUGGCACUGAAACAACUUUUUCGGUUUAAAUUUGAGGCCCAAAACCACACUCAAGAAAAAGAAAGCACGUCCUUCAACAUCUGCUUAUUAGUGCAAUGACUUUAAGAAAUGUGGUUCUGCUUCUUAGACUAGUUGCCUUCUAUGUUGUUUCUCCUUUUGACAAGUGAUUUCACUAGAUUCUGGAGAUAUCUAUUUUUCAUACAGGAAAUUACAUUUUUGUUAUUUUGUGAUAA